GUAGGUGGCAAGCGUUGUCCGGAAUUAUUGGGCGUAAAGCGCGCGCAGGCGGUUUUUAAGUCUGAUGUGAAAGCCCACGGCUCAACCGUGGAGGGUCAUUGGAAACUGGAGAACUUGAGUACAGAAGAGGAAAGCGGAAUUCCACGUGUAGCGGUGAAAUGCGUAGAGAUGUGGAGGAACACCAGUGGCGAAGGCGGCUUUCUGGUCUGUAACUGACGCUGAGGCGCGAAAGCGUGGGGAGCAAACAGGGAUUAGAUACCCUGGUAGUCCACGCCGUAAACGAUGAGUGCUAAGUGUUAGGGGGUUUCCGCCCCCUUAGUGCUGCAGCUAACGCAUUAAGCACUCCGCCUGGGGAGUACGGCCGCAAGGCUG
rnacentral:rRNA from 1 species